GACGAACGCUGGCGGCGUGCUUAACACAUGCAAGUCGAACGGUGAACUCCGCUUGCGGGGGGAUCAGUGGCGAACGGGUGAGUAACACGUGGGCAACCUGCCCUCAGCUCUGGGAUAACUCCAAGAAAUUGGGGCUAAUACCGGAUAUGACCGCUGACCGCAUGGUCUGGUGGUGGAAAGAUUUAUCGGCUGGGGAUGGGCCCGCGACCUAUCAGCUUGUUGGUGGGGUAGUGGCCUACCAAGGCGACGACGGGUAGCCGGCCUGAGAGGGUGACCGGCCACACUGGGACUGAGACACGGCCCAGACUCCUACGGGAGGCAGCGGUGGGGAAUAUUGCGCAAUGGGCGAAAGCCUGACGCAGCGACGCCGCGUGGGGGAUGACGGCCUUCGGGUUGUAAACCUCUUUCAGCAGGGACGAAGCGAAAGUGACGGUACCUGCAGAAGAAGCACCGGCCAACUACGUG
rnacentral:rRNA from 1 species